GGGCGGAUGUGGCCAAGUGGAUUAAGGCAGU
rnacentral:tRNA from 1 species